rnacentral:rRNA from 1 species
UUAUAGAGCCGUUCCAGUUGGGCCCAAGGGCAUGUCCGGUCCCAUUGGUGGUGGGCGCCCCUCCGUGGGCUCUGAGGCCUUGUCGCCCUCAGUGUCCGUCGGAGUCUACAAAGGGGCACUUGUGCCCCGGCGUAACGUAGAUAGAUACAUAUUGGCCUUGUGCCAAUAACAUGCCAGUGAAGACGUCCUUGUCCACUCCAACCUUAUAUAUAUAUAACGCCUACGGGACAAGACCUAGCUGGUCCGCAGGCGGCGGGAUGACUUGGGUUGGAAGAGGGUGGGUCUCCAGAAGGAGACUGGGUAGCAUAGGCGGCGUUACUAGUGCGCGCUGCUGAGGAGCAACCGGCCAGUUGGUCCGUGCUACUUGGUUGAUCUCUGCUGGACUUGAUGGGUGUAAGGCAGGCAUCCACAGUUGUUUGGCGUGCUUCGCGCCCUCCUUCCGUCGUGCCCAAUCGUCUGAAGUUAUGGGCCUCGACGAAUUGAUGUGAGUCGAGGGGGUCAUACCUGUUUUUGGCCCGGCAUGGACCUAGACCUACACGCGGUGCCCCUGUUCUUGACUGAUUAGGUCUAUAACAUCAAGCUGAGUUUUCCAAUGGGUUUUUAGAUAACUCUCAACAAUGGAUCUCUAGGCUCUUGCAUCGAUGAAGAACGCAGUGAACUGCGAUAACUGGUGUGAGUUGCAUGGCACUUCUAAUCUAACACCAAGCGAAUCAUCGAGUCUUUGAACGCAAACGGCACCCUUCCAGUCCAUUCCAAAGCGGUGGCGGAGGAUGAAGACAAGGGUAUCUCUGGCUGAGGGUAAUGGGAANUGAUCCAGUGUAACCGUUGGUUAGCUCUGGGGAUUGGGCUUGCUUGGGGCAAUUGCUCUGGCUUGCCUUAAAAUCAAGCGUUGUGUGGAUUGGACUUUCAAGCAUGCAUUGGGGACGCAGGCUCUGCGCUANNGCAAGCCCUUGACCGUCAUAGGUGCUUUGAUUGGGGUUUUCGGUCUAGCCAACAAGGCUGGGUUGAAGGACUU